UGGGGAAUAUUGCACAAUGGGCGCAAGCCUGAUGCAGCCAUGCCGCGUGUAUGAAGAAGGCCUUCGGGUUGUAAAGUACUUUCAGCGGGGAGGAAGGGAGUAAAGUUAAUACCUUUGCUCAUUGACGUUACCCGCAGAAGAAGCACCGGCUAACUCCGUGCCAGCAGCCGCGGUAAUACGGAGGGUGCAAGCGUUAAUCGGAAUUACUGGGCGUAAAGCGCACGCAGGCGGUUUGUUAAGUCAGAUGUGAAAUCCCCGGGCUCAACCUGGGAACUGCAUCUGAUACUGGCAAGCUUGAGUCUCGUAGAGGGGGGUGGAAUUCCAUGUGUAGCGGUGAAAUGCGUAGAGAUGUGGAGGAAUACCGGUGGCGAAGGCGGCCCCCUGGACAAAGACUGACGCUCAGGUGCGAAAGCGUGGGGAGCAAACAGG
rnacentral:rRNA from 1 species